rnacentral:piRNA from 1 species
UGUGACCUAGGAUGAAGAAAACAGUG